GCUAAAUGCACAAUUUUCAGAGAAAUACCAGGUGAGGUGAAAGACCCGCUCGAAAUGCCCCUGAGCCCCCUGCCCCGAAGCUGCCGGAGCCUCCCAAGCCUUCACCCCGGCAGGGCUCGCGCCCCCGGCCCGCCCCGCCUGGCACCACACCUCGGGGCUGGGGCCGAGCAACGAGCACCAGGUGGGCAGGCCCGAGAACGAGCACCAGGUAGGCUGGGCCGAGCAACGAGCACCAGGUGGGCAGGCCCGAGAAUGAGCACCGGGUGGGCCGGCACGAGGGCGAGCACCAGGUGGGUCGGCACGAGAACAAACACCGAGUGAGCCGGCCUGGAGCCCUGCCCCUGAGCCCCCGCCCGAAGAGAAACACUCCGUCCCAAGGUCUCCGCCCCCAAGGUCAGCCAUCAGGAAGGGGGGGGGAAUUGAGUCUGCUGUACCAGACACCAGACACCAGACCUUGAGAAUAUGCUGAUCUGGAAUGGCUCUGUGUCUUAUUUGAACCAUCCAAUAGAAAUGAUUCUGUAUUUCGCCUCAUUUGAAAGACUCUAUGUUUCACCUCAUUUGAAUAACUCUGUACUUUGCCUCAUUUGAAUAACCCUGUAUAGCGCCUCAUAUACAUUGACCAAUGGGAAUAGCUCUGUAUAAUGCCUCAUUAGAAUUAUCCAAUAGAAUCCCUACUCCUAGCUUGCGCCUUUUUCCCUAUAUAAGGACCCCUUUCCCUUGGCUCGAGGCGCUUAGCCACACAAAGGCUAAGUGGCCCCGGGUACCCGCGUCUCCAAUAAAGCCUCUUGUUUUUUGCAUCCAGUUCGUGGCCUCGCUGAUUCCUGGGUGUGUGGGUCUCCCUCUAUGAAAGUGUCUCUUCGGGGGUCUUUCAUUUGGGGGCUCGUCCGGGAUAGAGACCCCCGCCCAGGGACCACCGACCCACAUUUGGGAGGUAAGCGUUGUGCGGAUCCGCUGUCUUGUCUUGUCUUGUCUUGUCUCGUCUCGUCUUGUCUGUCUGAAUCCGUUUUGUGAAUUGCGCUUGCGUUUGUAGUAUACAGCUGUGUACAUUUGUAUUUGGCUGACGAGCUCGGACUCCCGACCGCGGCUCCAGGAGACGUCCUGGUAGCGUUUGAAGCCCUCAGGGUGAGGGAUUUGUAUUUUGAACUUGGGAAGCCCUCGGGGUGAGGGAUUUGUACUUUGAACUUAGAUCUAUGACUGGACAUCUUCCCAGUCUCUUUGGAGAAGGCCCUCGGCUUGAGGGAUUUGCAAUCUUUACUGGGGACGAAGAAGGAGGGCCCCCUUCUUCGACCCCACCCCCUUCUCAAUUCUUUCGACUCUCUGUCGAAACCGCGCUGCGAAAACCUGUUCUGUGUUCUGUGUUGUUUGGCCUUUGUUUUGUAAUUGAUGUGCAUAAACGCAAAUGAAUUACUCUUUGUUCCUCAGCUCGAGCGUAUAAACUUAUCUGGCCUGAUCCGGACAUCUAAACGGCCUUAAAGUUAUUAAGAACUGUAAAAAGGACUUUGAUAAAAUUUUGAUGUUAACUGAAAAAAAAAUAUAGGAGACAUAAAUAAUAAAAAGGGAAAGAAAAAAAAAGAGAAAACUUGUCUAAAAAUGUCUAAGAGAGUCAGAGAAAUGAACUAGGAGGUUAUAGAGGAUUAAAGCAAGUCAUAGCAGAAAAGAUUGUUAUAAAAGGUUAUAGAGAAUUAAAGCAAGCGGUAAAAGUUACAGAGGGUUAAAGCAAGUUGUUGGAGGUCACAGAAAGUUACAGAGGGUUAAAGCAAGUUGCAGAAGGUCAGAGGAAAGUUGUCAAAGGUCAGAGAAAAGGUUGUUACAAGUCACAGAAAAACCCUGCCUAAGAAAGAAGUUAAGCUACUGUUUAAGGAAUCCUGGCACUUAGAUGUGCCUGCCCUGGCCUUGCAUCACCUGUACCUCUCUAGAGCAGGUGCUAAUUAUUUACAGAAAUAAGACCUUACCUAGCCACCUGUAGAUACUUAAUGUAUGCUUAAGGCAAGUAAUUAAAACAGACAAACAGACCUCUAAUGCUUCAGAGAUCUUCAGAAUAUGGC
ensembl:lncRNA